UGGAGCUGCCAGAAAGUAACUUUGCGGAGUGGAGCGUCAGAAGUGAGGAGCAGGUGUCUCAUGCUAAAGUCGUAGCCCAAACCCUGAAGACACGAGUAGAAGAAUGUACUGUACAUGUUUGGCGUCGUGGGCAUCCCGGCCACCGAAAUCGCCCUUGGCACCCAGGAGCUGCGCAUCAGGUACCUCAGGACGAGGAACGAGCAACGAGCAAGCGGGUCUCACUAUAGGUCCAGGCUGGCCUUGAACUCACCACGUAGCCCAGAGUGGCCUUGAACUCAACAUAAUCCUCCUCUGCCUCCCAAGUGAUGGGAUUAAAGAUGCCACUGUGAACAGCAAGUAUGAGCGAGCUGUCUGCUGGCAGGUAAACUGAAGUCAGUUUCAUUUCUGUUGUGUGUUAUAUUUUGGAGUAGAGCUAUUAUGUCUUUCAGCUGAAGGAUUACUUCGUUUGAAGAGAUUAUAGAAGACAGUAUGAAGAAAGAAAAAUAAGCUGGACAUGGUUGUGCACGCUUGAAAUCCCAAAACUCUGGGAAGCUGAGGUUAGUAUCUGCAGAGGAAUUGAGAAUAAUGUAAGGCUUGCUGUGACUUUGCUAGGAGACAUAAAUGGUGUUACCAAAUAGAGUCAGCAACUGAGGAGGGCUUAAGAGCCCCUGCCUGUGAGACACGGAGAGGUACCAAUUCAGUCUGUCCUGAGAGAAUCUCUGCAUCUGGCAGAAGUUCAGUCCACUGAUGCAGACAAAGCUUCCUGGUUUACCCAUUUGUCUCCACUAGUUGUUUGCUGCUUAGAGGAAAAGCGAAGAGUAUGAGCAGUGUGAAGAGGAGAAUGGUAUAGCAAUAUGUGUGUCUUCUAUAAGAAGAGACUUUUAUAUUACUGUAGGUUUAUUUUCAAAAAAAACAAUUUGUGAUUUUUUUUUAGCUUUUAGAAUAAUAAAAACACUGGCAGCAUCCUCCAGAAAACAGCAUCCCCUGGAUCCUCCUCAAAAACCUCAUAAACAGAGAACAAGCGGUAGAAAAUUGAGAGGAAAAAAUGAAGAGCAAAGCUGUGUCCAAGUUAGUAUAGGACCUACUGAAAUUCCAGAAUACUUCAGGUUCAUGGUUCACUUAGUUCCACAAAUUGUGAUAUAUAUAUAUUCCUAGAAAUUGUGCUGUGCAAAAUCAUGAAAAAAACAACGCACCAAGGCUCAGAAAUGGGUUAGAAGCACUCUGGAGGCUCAGGCAGGAAGAUUGCAAGUUCGAGGACAGCCUGGACUACAUCCCGCUAGCUAGUUUGAGGUCAGUCUGAGAUACAUAGUAAAUCCUUGUCUCAACAAAACAACACACAUACACAUAAAAGGAAGGAAAGGAGGGAGGGAAGGAAGGAAGGAAGAAAAGACAAGAAGAAAAAAGAGGUACACCACUCUCAAGAAUCUCAUAAAAGAUAGGAACCUAAUAAAAAUGGUAGCAAAGUUUUUUUGUUUUUCUUGGUACUGGGGAUCGAACUUGGGACCUUGUGCUUGCAAGGCAGGUGGUGGAACUACUGAGCUAAAUCCUCAGCCCUGUUAGCAAAGUUUUAACCAUGUUAAAUGGUUAAGAAAAUAUAUGUUAUAUAUUUUAUAUAUGUAUUACAACAUAUGUAGUAUAUUACAUGUAUAUUAUAGUAGAUCUGGUACUUCACCUUGAAAAAGACCUUCCUUUCUCAUGGAAGUGCGCAUCAGGAGGGUUGCAGCUUGUGAGUUACCGUGAAUUGGUGAGAAAAGGGUGAUCUGACGUUGUGUAGGAAGCUCUAACAGCAGACAGAUGGAUGUGGUUCACUGUCCUCAGUUUGAUUGAGGCACAGAUUAUCACAAUUAAGGGAUCUUUCUGAACCUUAAGUCCUAGGGACACACCGGGCAUCAUUUUCUGCCUUUAAGAUACAGAUCCUUCGAGGCGUGUGAGUGUAAUAGAUAGCUGUUUCAUCAAUACUGAAAAUUUGAUCUAAUGAUAGCCAUCUUUUUCAUUUAACUUCUGCAUCAAUCUUUUUUUUUUUUUGGUACCGGGGAUUGAACUCAGGUCCUUGUGCUUGCGCAGCAGGCAGUGAAACCACUGAGCUAAAUCCCCGGCCCCCAUUUAACUUCUGUAUUGCUGCUGGAGGGUAUGUUGUAGCCUUUUUGUCUGCCCUUGUGGCCUUGUCUGAUCAUGGGGGCUUUGGAAAUUGAUUAUUGAGGCCACCAAACUAUCCAUUUCUAUCAAGAAGCCACUUUUGCAGGAUUUGGUGAUGUUUAAAGUUUUUGUAGCCAGGGGUGAUGGUACAUGCCUGUAGUCCUAGUACUCUGGGAGGGUGGCAGGAUGAUUGCAAGUUCUAGCCUAGCCUGGGCAACUUAGUGACUUAGCGAGGCCCUGACUUAGAAUAAAAAUAAAAAGGGCUGGGAUUUGGCUCAGUGUGAAUGCCUGGGUUCAGUUCCUGUACUGCAAAAAAUAAAUAAAGUAUUUGUACUGCAUUCUCUUUCAUUGUGAGAUGGAUCGUUCCUGACUUCACUGUUUUAUGUGUUUUUAUGUAUCUUGAUUCAGCUGUGUAUAGUUUUCUGUGUUUACGUAGCUGUGGUUCUUGCUGAUGAGAUCAUGCAUUAGCAAAUAUGAAAUUCUGCUUUUGCUUAUUUUUAUUAUGUCAGUAGUCUUAAAAUAAAUUCACAUUUUCAAAUCAAGCAUUACAGCAGAAUUGAUAAUGCCUGAUUUUGUCUUACAUUAGAAUUUUAAUCAGUAACCUAUAAAGAGCUAAUGUCACUUCUGUUUUCUGAGUUGUGGCAUGAUUACUCCCUUUGUUUCCCUAUGUCCUUUCUAAUCACCUUAGUUUAAGAUGGGAGGAGCUCACCCCAUUCUCUUGUGCGGGAGUGUAGAGGAUCCUUCACCCCCCUCAGGUAUAAUCUCCAACAGAGCAGAAUAGUACAGAAGAGGAAGUGCUGGGGCCAGAUGUGAUUGUUACCUGCUAAGCUGCAGGUGGCCUUCUUUCAGCGCAAGAAGGCAUAUGGCUAUAUAAAGCAUCCUCUGCAGAUGAAAACAACACUGAGAUUCCACCUCACCCCAGAAAGAAUGGCUGCUAUCAAAAAAUCAACCAAUAACAUGCUGGCGGGGGUGUGGGGAGUUGUUAGUGGGUCUGUAGACUGGUGCAACCGCCAUGGAAACCUGUAUGGAGAUACUGCAAAAAACUAGGGCUAGAGGUCCCAUUUGAUCCUGCUCUUCCUCUGCUGGGGAUCUUCCCCAAAUAAUUAAAAGAAUCAUACCACAGCGAUAUAUGUGCACCCAUGUUUAUAGUGGCACAGUUUGUAAUAGCUAAAGCUUGGAAACAGCCGAAGUGCCCAUCACCUGGA